GGGAAAAACACUUCCCCUUUGGUAAAGCUACUGCAAAUUAAAAAGAAAGAUCUCAGUGUGAAGUUGGUGAUGUUUUGUUGCAAAGAAAAAAAAAGUGCAAUGAAAACUCCAUCAGCUCUUUCAGCUGAGAAAAAGAACACAGGAAAAUGAAGUGCAGGGAAGACUCACAAAGCUCUUUUGGAAACUGGAGACUAGAAGCUUUACAGGAAAAUAUUUGAUCUGAAGUUGGUUGAAUCAGAAGACGCCAAACCGGCAGAUAUGGAGGACCAACAGUGUAUGCUUAAUUGUUUAUGUUGGUUUCAAGAACCCUUUCAUAUAGGAUUAAUGCUUCCUGAUGAUCAUUAUACUAGGUGCUAAGAUGUUGACAUGUGCAGAAGACCAGUUAUGAUAUUUCCUAGUUUGUUCACCAAAAUAAUUCAGUCUACAUCCAUUUGUUGCCUAUCAAUGACAGACUGGAUAAAGAAAAUGUAGUAUAUAUACACCCCGGAAUACCAGGCAGCCAUAAACAAGAACAAGAUCACGUCUUUUGUGGGAACAUGGAUGGAGCUGGAGGCUGUUAUCCUUAGCAAACUAACGCAGGAACAGAAAACCAAAUACCACAUAUUCUCAGUUACAAGUGGGAGUUAAAUAAUAACAACUUAUGAACACAAAUAAGGAGACAACAGACACUGCGAUGUACUUGAGGGUGGAGGGUAGGAGGAGGAAAAGGAGCAGAAAAGAUAAGUAUCAGGUACUGGGCUUAACACCUGAGUGAUGAAAUAGCAUGUACAACAAACCCCCAUGACACGUUUACCUAUGUAACAAACCUUCACAGGUACCCCCAAACCUAAAAUAAAAGUUAGAAAACAAAAAAAAAACUUGCCUUGAUUUCUGUCAGGUUUCUAAAUUUUCUGGAUCCAGACAAAGAUAUAUUAAUUUGUUUUAUACUCAUUUGUUUUCUUCUUUAAUGAUAUUUAUUCAAUUGAAAAGUGUGUACUAUUAUUACCUAAAACCAUUAAAAUUUAGUGAGAGGUUAAGGGAAUGCCAUAAUUAAUGUUUAAUAGUUGUCAGAAUACAAAAUUAUUUUAACAGCUUUGUUGAGGUGUAAUUAACAUACAAUAAACUGCAUACUGAAGAUAUAUAAUUUGAUAAGUUUCAAUGUGCAUACAUACUCAUCAUAAUCACCAUAAUAAAUACAUUAUAUAUAUAUGCAUCACUCCAAAAAGUUUUCACAUGUCCCUUUGUAAUACCUCCCUCUUCUCCUCCCCUCAACAAUCACGCUACUGGUUUGUGUCUUUUUGUAGAAUUUAAAUACAUGAAAUUGUUCAUGCAGUGUGAUACUUUUUUUAAAUCUUAAAUCUUUUCUCAGAAUAAUUCUUUUGAGACUCAUUCGUGUAGUGGAAUGUACCAAAUGUAUUAUUUUUUAUUGUAGAGUGGAAUUUAUUGUAUGCAUAUAUCAUAAUGUGUUUUCAUAUUUAUCUGUUGAUGAAAAGUUGACUUGUUUUUAAUUUUUGCUAUCACAAGUAAAACUUCUGAACACAUUUGUGUAUGAGUCUGUAUGUAGGCACAUACUUUCAUUUUAUUUGGUACUAACACCAAGGAGUAGAAUAAUUGGAUCUUAUGGUAGGUUUAUAUUUAACUUUUUAGAAAACUGCCACAUUAUUUUCCAAAGUUGUUGUUUUUUUUCACAUUCUCAACACCAAUGCAUGAAGAGUUCCAGUUACUCUACAUCCUCAUUAAUAGUUGGUAUGGUCACAUAUUUAAAUUUUUGCUCUUUUUAUAGAUCAGUGGUAAUAUCUCAUCAGUUUUAAUUUGCAUGUCACUUAUAAUUAAUAAUGUUAAGAAUAUUUUCAUGUGCUUAUUUGCCAUCCAUAUAUCUUCCUGGGUAUUGGUUGUCUGUUUUCUUAUUAUUGUAAAUUUUGAGAGUGUAUUAUAUAUUCAGAAUACACAUCCAUUAUCAAAUAUGUGAUUAACAAGUAUUUUCUCCAAGUCUAGGGUUUGUAUUUUCAUUCUCUUAACAGUGUCUUUGAAAUACCAAAAGUUAUUAAUUUUGAUGAAGUCUGAUUUACCAAUACUUUAUUUAGUAGAUCAUGCUUUGGUGUCAUAUCUAAGAUACCUGAAUAAUAUCGAAUUAUCUGACUGAUGAAAAUUAUAUGUCUCUCUUUACUAAGAUAUUUUGUAAAAAUUUCUCUCAGCAAUAUUUUAUCGUUUUUCAGUCUAAAAGUCUUCCAUUUGUUUUGCCAGAUUUAUCUCAAAUAUUUCAUAUAUUUUAAUUCUUUUAAUGAAUAUCAAUUAAAUAUCAACAUCUGAUUACCCAUUAUUAGUAUACAGAAGCACAACUGAUUUUACGUAUUGCCCUUGUAUUCUGAAAUUCUGCUAAACUCUCAUUACCAGCUUUUCUGUAGAUUCCACUGGAUUUUCUAUAUAAAUCAUCAUGUAUCUGUGAAUAAAGACCAAAUUAUUUAUUCUUUUAAUUACUUAUUUUCAAUAUGGAUGCAGUUAAUUUUGUUUUCGUGCCUGAUUGCACUGGCUAGCACUUGUAAUACACUGUUGAAUAGAAUUGGUGAGAGUGGACAUCCUUGCCUUGUUCUUGAUUUAAGGGGGAAAACAAUUAUCAUUUAAAAGAGGCUUUCAUUAUUAAACAUGAUGUUACCUACAGACUUUCUUUGAAUGUCUUUUGUAGUUUGAGAAGUAUCAUUCUAUUUCUAGUUUUCUAAGAAUUUUUGUCAGGAAUGGAUGUUAGAAUUUGUCAAAUAUAUUUUCUGCAUCUAUUGAGAUUAUCAUGUGUCUAUUUUAUUUAGUUUGUUAAUAUGGUCAAUAUUAUUGAUUAAUUUUUAAAUAAUAAACUAAGUUAUGCAUCAUUCCUGCAAUAAAUUCCACUUGGUCCUGGUAUUCUAUUCUUUCAUAUAUUGUUGGAUUCACUUUGCUAAAAUUUUCUUAAGAAUUUCUGUAUGUGUUCAUGAAGGAUAGUCAUUUAUAGUUUUCUUUUCGUAACAUGUCCUUGUCCAAUUUUUGUAAUAGUGUAAGACUUUCCUGAUAACAUAAGUUUGCAAAUAUUCCUUCGUCACACAUUUUCUGGAAGAGUUUGUUUAAAAUUCAUAUAGUAUUUUCCCGAAAUGUUUGGUAGAAUUCACCAUGGGAGUCAUCUUGGUCUGGUGUUUUUUUUGUUAUUAGAAGGUUUUUUUUUUUAUUUUUUUUCACUGCAAAAGUAACUUAUUUAACAGAUAUAGGGUUAUUAAAGCAAUCUAAUUCCAUUUGAGUAAACUAUCAUUUACUUUGGUAGUUUAUGCAUUGCAAUGCAUGCUCGUUUUGCCUAAAUUGUCAAUUUUAUUAGCAUAACAUUAUUCAUAAUGUUAUCCUGUUAAUGUCUUUAAAUCUAUAAUGUCUCCUUUCAUGUUCCUACAGCAGCUAACUUAUACUUUCUCUCUUAUUUUUUCUGAUCGGUCUGGCUCUGGAAUUUUGUCAAGUUUGUUGAUAUCAUCAAAUAAUUAACUUUGAUCCAUUCAUUGUUUUUUCUUUUUUCUCUUUUCUGUUUCAUUUGUUUCCACCUCAAGCUUUUGCCCCAAAUUCUUAUGUUUCUUUUGGUCUGUAUUUGCUCUCACUUUCUAGUUCUUAAGGAGAAAAAAGUGAAGUCGCUAAUUUCAGACGUUUCUUCUUUAUUAGGCAUUUAUGUUUAUAUAUUGUCUAAUAAAUAUGGCUAUAG
rnacentral:lncRNA from 10 species